rnacentral:piRNA from 1 species
UGCCUGAAGGAUGAUGACGUGUAUGGUCUU